UUCGGGGUACUCGAGCGGCGAACGGGUGAGUAACACGUGAGCAACCUGCCCUAGGCUUUGGGAUAACCCCGGGAAACCGGGGCUAAUACCGAAUAUGACCUGGCCUCGCAUGAGGCUUGGUGGAAAGUUUUUCGGCCUGGGAUGGGCUCGCGGCCUAUCAGCUUGUUGGUGGGGUGAUGGCCUACCAAGGCGACGACGGGUAGCCGGCCUGAGAGGGCGACCGGCCACACUGGGACUGAGACACGGCCCAGACUCCUACGGGAGGCAGCAGUGGGGAAUAUUGCACAAUGGGCGGAAGCCUGAUGCAGCGACGCCGCGUGAGGGAUGACG
rnacentral:rRNA from 1 species